rnacentral:rRNA from 1 species
GACGAACGCUGGCGGCAUGCCUAAUACAUGCAAGUCGAGCGAACAGAUGAAGUGCUUGCACUUCUGACGUUAGCGGCGAACGGGUGAGUAACACGUAAGGAAUCUACCUAUAAGCGGGGGAUAACAUUCGGAAACGGGUGCUAAUACCGCAUAAUAUCUUCUUCCGCAUGGAAGAAGAUUGAAAGACGGCUCUGCUGUCACUUAUAGAUGACCUUGCGGUGCAUUAGUUAGUUGGUGGGGUAACGGCCUACCAAGACGAUGAUGCAUAGCCGACCUGAGAGGGGGAUCGGCCACAUUGGGAAUGAGACACGGCCCAAACUCCUACGGGAGGCAGCAGUAGGGAAUCUUCCGCAAUGGGCGAAAGCUUGACGGAGCAAUGCCGCAUGAGUGAAGAAGGCCUUCGGGUCGUAAAACUCUGUUAUAAGAGAAGAACAAAUUGUAGAGUAACUGCUACAGUCUUGACGGUAUCUUAUCAGAAAGCCACGGCUAACUACGUGCCAGCCGCCGCCGUAA